rnacentral:rRNA from 1 species
AACGAACGCUGGCGGCGUGGAUAAGACAUGCAAGUCGAACGGGACUAAAUCUGUAGCAAUACAGGUUUAGUUUAGUGGCGAACGGGUGCGUAACACGUGGGCAAUCUGCCGAGAAGUGGGGGAUAGCUCGCCGAAAGGCGAAUUAAUACCGCAUAUGAUCAGCUAAGACAUCUUAGCGACAUCAAAGCCGGGGCAACCUGGCGCUUCUUGAUGAGCCCCGCGGCCUAUCAGCUAGUUGGUGAGGUAACGGCUCACCAAGGCUAUGACGGUAGCUGGUCUGAGAGGACGACCAGUCACACUGGAACUGA